rnacentral:rRNA from 1 species
GUGAGGAAUAUUGCGCAAUGGAGGCAACUCUGACGCAGCCAUGCCGCGUGCAGGAAGAAGGCGCUACGCGUUGUAAACUGCUUUUAACCGGGAAGAAACCCCAGGACGUGUCCUGGGUUGACGGUACCGGAGGAAUAAGCACCGGCUAACUUCGUGCCAGCAGCCGCGGUAAUACGAAGGGUGCAAGCGUUAUCCGGAUUCAUUGGGUUUAAAGGGUGCGUAGGCGGAGCGUUAAGUCAGUGGUGAAAUCCUGCAGCUUAACUGUAGACUUGCCAUUGAUACUGGAGCUCUUGAGUGCGCUUGAAGUGGGCGGAAUGUGCCGUGUAGCGGUGAAAUGCUUAGAUAUGGCACAGAACACCAAUUGCGAAGGCAGCUCACUAAGGCGAUACUGACGCUGAGGCACGAAAGCGUGGGGAUCGAACAGGAUUAGAAACCCCAGUAGUCC